rnacentral:lncRNA from 1 species
GCGGAUAUAUUCAAAUAAACAAGUUGUGCGUAUUCUAUUGCACUUUUUAUUAUCUAUUUUAGUAGUUGUUAGUUGGACGUUGAGUUGUGAUUCCACGUGCUUUUAACUCCUGUAAGACCAGUGAAAUUAAAGUGUUCUUUUAGCGUUUUAAGUUCAUAAGACAUCAAUUAGGACAUUCAGUCAUUACAACAAAAGAAAAAUACGUUGAAAUAUAUUCGGAAGUGAGUUUGGUUAAAACACUGGACCUUGAUUGGCAAAUUUAUAAUGUUAAAGAACUAAAAAAGCACUUGUUGGAGGAGUUUGAUAUAAAGCAGCUCUCUUAGGAUUAGCACCAUGCAAUGUAUCUGAUUAAGCAAGAACCAAUUUGAGCAAAACCAAUCUGAAUGAGAGUGCACUCAAGAGAUUGCAAGAUUGUUGAGUCGUCCGCAAAUUUGUCUCAUUAAAUGGAAGAUUUUUUAUAUAUAUAACAAUUGGAAUGGGAUCAAGUAUGGAUCUUUAUGGAAUCCCAAUAUUAACCACUCUGUCUCUCUAACCGACGGUCCUUAAGAUAGGAUUUAUGCGACGAACGAAGAAAUUAUUAAGCAUCAACUUCUUUAGAAGGAUAUCAUGGGUAACACAGCUAAAGUCAUGCUUAAACUUCAGAAUAGAGCAGGGAUGGACAAAUCACAUACGAACAACAAAAGAUCCUGAAGACCAUCGAGGAAUACUACAAAGUAAUAAAUGAUCGAGAUAAUUCCAUUCAAGAGAUACAAGUUCUAGUUAUACAGGAUUAAGAAUCUGAGGAACUUCCAGAUAUAACUAAAGAGGAGAUUGGUUUGAGUCAGCCAUAAAAACUAUGAAGGACAAAAAAGCACCGGGAGAAGAGAGCAUUGUGAUUCAAAUGAAAAAAACAAGGAUUUAAACGCGUUAUGAAAGAAACCCUAUAAACUCUAUAAUACAUACAUCUUUAUAGGAAAUAUACCAAAACAAUGGAAUAAUUGCAUUAAUAUAGAAAUGAAAACAUAACAGAAGUUAGAAACUACCGACCUCUCACUAAUAUCUCACUUAUAUAGGGUGUUCCAAAAAUCAGCGAUAAGCUGAAAACCGGCAAUAGACUAGGUGCCCAGGGAUUAAAAAAAAUAUUUAAAAAAAUCUAGGUUAAGUACUUUUAAAAUGUCCUGGAAAAAAAAAUUACUUCACUAUUUGGCAAGUGAUUUCAGAAGUUGGCGUAUCUAAUCUAGAUUUCAAAAUGCUAAGAUACUUGCUAAAUUAUUGGUUCAACAAAGGUGUAUUUUUUACAUGAAAUGUAUGCCAGUACUCUACGCUAAGUUAUUAAUUAUACAUUCAAAAUAAAACUUUACUUAAGUCGCAACUAAUGUUCAAAUUGUCUGCCUCCAUUCCUGAUACGACGUUUUAAACGGGAUUAGUGUAUACGAUUUCUUAAUCUUUAUCACUUUUUAUUAAUUAUGGUUUCCUGUAAAGUAGGGAAAUUUAAAUAAAUUAUUUAAAUUAGGUGAACAUGGCGCCAGGCUUUCUUCUAUCCCGCCCUAUCUACCUGUACGGGUAUUCCCUAUUCAGAAAUACCCCUACAGGGUAAGUAAGACAGGUGGUGAUAUAACUUAGGUCAUUAAUUAAGACUUUUGCUACUGCAGUACUUUGCUAUCCUACGUUUACUACGCAUCUUUCUGUAUUAUUGUUGAUUAUUUUGACUUUUCUGGACUAUCAAUAACCAUAUGAUUAUUUAGUUAGUAAAUAAAACCAUGCCAGAUCGUCAUACUGUGCGGGAAUAUGCUUAUAUAUAUAUCUCAUCUAUAGAGAAUAUCGAUGCAAUGGUAAUGCUGCCGCUAGACUGUAUCAUCAAAGAGGGCCGAUUCUCAAAUCAAAUGAGUGGUGCAGGCAGAACGCGCUUGUCCUACGAGGCCGAAGUCUUAUAAGAAGUUGCACGUGAUCCGAGUACCUCAGUACGUGAAGUAAAAUCAAGGACAGGCAUGUUUAAGAGUUCGGCACACUGAAUAUUGAAAAAAAAAACAGUAACUCCAUACCACUUACAACAAGUACAAAGUUUACUACCUCGAGACUACCCGGCAAGACUAGAAUUUUAUCAAAUAAUGUUGUAAAGACAUAGAGAAGAUUCGCGAUUCUUGGAAAGAAUUCUAUGGUUCGAUAAAUCGACUUUUAAGAGGGAUGGAUUCAUAAAUUACCACAACAUAUAUGAGUGGCAUGUGGGAAAUCCAUACUAAAACCGAGAGGACCGGUCACAAUACCAGACAGGUAAGAGCCAAAGAGGUAAUAAAUAAAAUUCAAGUAGCACAGAGAGCGAUAGAGAGAUUAAUUAAUGUUGAAUUUAUCCGUCAGAGACAUCCCAAAUGAUACUUACCAAAUAAAAAGUAUGGAAAGAACUGGUAAUACGAACGCAGUUAAAUAGUUUACAAUACUGAAAUGAUACUGGGCAGACAAUGUUGCCAGAGCGAAAGAUCGAACAUGGACAAUUCUAUAAUUUUCUUUCUAUAUGAUGCAUACAUAAACCGAGGACGUCCUCCAACGAGAUGGUCGGACGAUAUCAAGCUCAUCCAUCACUGAAUGCAAAGUACUCAAGAUCGGAAGCAAUGGAAUGGUUUACGAGAUGUGCACCAGUGAACUCAAAGCAGCUAUUGAUGAUGAUGAUACUCGUUAUUCGUCCAAGAUAUACAAAAAUAUUAGAAUUUGUCCAAUACUUAACAGAAAUACCCAUUAUUUAAUUUUGAUUUAACUUUGACACAUUUGAUGCACUCACUAUUGUGAAAUUGCAUUCAACCAUUGACUUCGGCACCACGGAAAAUUUAGCCAUUUGGCCUAAAUCCGCUUUUAAAUUUAGAAAAUAUGUAUUUGAUAUUUUUUAGGCCUGUUUGAAGAAAAAAACUAAAAACAAUUAAUUUUAUUAUUUUUUGUACAGAGAAAAUUCAAGAUAAAUUAUUAAACUUAAAAGAAAAUAAAACUUUAAAACUUUUUAAUUUUUUUUUAAUUAUUGGGAAGAUUCCAAGUAAAUUAUUAAAGUUACAGUUUUUGCCCUGAUUCUACAACUAUCCACUAAAUUAUUAAUUUAAGGACGUAAAUUAUCUCAGUAGCACAUAAUUAUUUUUUGAUCCUGGGCUUGUAUUCUUAUAAAGAAGUUUGCUAUUACUCUUCCUAUAUCAACUCAAUAAUUCUAUUUAUUUGUUA